rnacentral:rRNA from 1 species
UUCCUACGGGACGCAGCAGUUGGGAAUAUUGGACAAUGGAGGAAACUCUGAUCCAGUGACGCCGCGUGAAGGAAGAAGGUCUUCGGAUUGUAAACUUAUUUUAUCAGGGAAGAAAGAAAUGACGGUACCUGAGUAAGAAGCCCCGGCUAACUACGUGCCAGCAGCCGCGGUAAUACGUAGGGGGCAAGCGUUAUCCGGAAUUACUGGGUGUAAAGGGAGCGUAGACGGUAAUGCAAGUCUGGAGUGAAAGGCGGGGGCCCAACCCCCGGACUGCUCUGGAAACUGUGUAACUGGAGUGCAGGAGA